AGGAUCAUUACCGAGAUAGGGUCCCCCGGGCCUGAACCUCCACCCUGUGUGAAUCGACCUUUGUUGCUUUGGCGGGCCGUGAAGCUUCGGCUUCCCGUCGACUUCGGUGGACGUGCGCUCGUCAGAAGCCCUUUGAACUCCGAUUAACAAAUGAAGUCCGAGCACUAUCGAAUCGUUAAAAAAAACUUUCAACAACGGAUCUCUUGGUUCUGGCAUCGAUGAAGAACGCAGCGAAAUGCGAUAAGUAAUGUGAAUUGCAGAAUUCAGUGAACCAUCGAAUCUUUGAACGCACAUUGCGCCCCCUGGUAUUCCGGGGGGCAUGCCUGUUCGAGCGUCAUUACACCCCUCAAGCUUAGCUUGGUCUUGGGAGUCGUCCUCAGGAUGCCCCCGAAAAUCAGCGGCGACGCGGUCGGUCUUCGUGCGCAGUAGAAGUUCCUUUCGCAUUCGGAGCCCGGGCGCGUCCGCCGGACAACCCCUUGAUUUGUAUUGAUUGACCUCGAAUCAGGUAGGGAUACCCGCUGAACUUAAGCAUAUCAAUAAGCGGAGGAAAAGAAACCAACAGGGAUUGCCCCAGUAACGGCGAGUGAAGCGGCAACAGCUCAAAUUU
rnacentral:rRNA from 1 species